rnacentral:rRNA from 1 species
CCUACUGUUGCUUCGGCGGGAUUGCCCCGGGCGCCUCGUGUGCCCCGGAUCAGGCGCCCGCCUAGGAAACUUAACUCUUGUUUUAUUUUGGAAUCUUCUGAGUAGUUUUUACAAAUAAAUAAAAACUUUCAACAACGGAUCUCUUGGUUCUGGCAUCGAUGAAGAACGCAGCGAAAUGCGAUAAGUAAUGUGAAUUGCAGAAUUCAGUGAAUCAUCGAAUCUUUGAACGCACAUUGCGCCCGCCAGUAUUCUGGCGGGCAUGCCUGUCUGAGCGUCAUUUCAACCCUCAUGCCCCUAGGGCGUGGUGUUGGGGAUCGGCCAAAGCCCGCGAGGGACGGCCGGCCCCUAAAUCUAGUGGCGGACCCGUCGUGGCCUCCUCUGCGAAGUAGUGAUAUUCCGCAUCGGAGAGCGACGAGCCCCUGCCGUUAAACCCCCAACUUUCCAAGGUUGACCUCAGAUCAGGUAGGAAUACCCGCUGAACUUAAGCAUAUCAAUAAGCGGAGGAA